rnacentral:rRNA from 1 species
UACGAAGGGUGCAAGCGUUACUCGGAAUUACUGGGCGUAAAGCGUGCGUAGGUGGUUUGUUAAGUCUGAUGUGAAAGCCCUGGGCUCAACCUGGGAAUUGCAUUGGAUACUGGCAGGCUAGAGUGCGGUAGAGGAUGGCGGAAUUCCCGGUGUAGCAGUGAAAUGCGUAGAGAUCGGGAGGAACAUCUGUGGCGAAGGCGGCGCUCUGGAACGUUUCUGACACUGAGGCUCGAAAGCUAGGGGAGCAAACAGG